rnacentral:tRNA from 1 species
ACCUCUAUGGUGUAGUGGUCAAGACGCUCGGCUGAUAUAUAGGAGAGCCUGGGUUCAAUCCCAGUUGAGGUA